rnacentral:rRNA from 1 species
UAAGUGGGCUUGAUUGUGGGGAAAACUCCACAGUUAAGCGCGCUUGAGCCAGAGGCGUCCUGGGAUGGGUGACCACCUGGGAAGUCCUGGUUACCGGGUGAA